ACGGUAGCAUAUGAAUAAGGAUCGGCUAACUCCGUGCCAGCAGCCGCGGUCAUACGGAGGAUCCAAGCGUUAUCCGGAAUUACUGGGCGUAAAGAGUUGCGUAGGUGGCAUUGUAAGUUUGUAGUGAAAGCGUGUGGCUCAACCAUAUACACAUUACAAAAACUGCAAAGCUAGAAGAUGAGAGAGGUGCCUGGAAUUCCCAGUGUAGGGGUAAAAUCCGUAGAUAUUGGGAGGAACACCGAUGGCGUAAGCAGGGUGCUGGCUCAUUCUUGACACUAAGGCACGAAAGCGUGGGGAGCAAACAGGAUUAGAUACCCUGGUAGUCCACGCCGUAAACUAUGAAUGCUAGCUGUUAUGGGUAUCGACCCCCGUAGUAGCGAAGCUAACGCGUUAAGCAUUCCGCCUGUGGAGUACGGUCGCAAGACUAAAACAUAAAGGAAUUGACGGGGACCCGCACAAGCGGUGGAGCGUGUUGUUUAAUUCGAUGGUAAACGAAGAACCUUACCCAGGUUUGACAUCCUUGGAAUUUUUCCGAAAGGAAAGAGUGCUUUAUUGA
rnacentral:rRNA from 1 species